rnacentral:rRNA from 1 species
CUGGCCUUCGGAAACGAAGGCAUGUGCACGUCUCGAAAGUCUUGCUUAGUACCUUGAUCUCUUUCCUUUCGUGAACCCCUUUUCUUACACCUGUGCACCCAUUGUAGGUCCCGCGAGGGAUCCUAUGUCUCUAUCUACUCUUAAAUGUAUGGCCUAGAAUGUCUUGAAACGUCGUCCGGCCUGGCUAACGCUUGGUUGGCGGCAGUAAAGAACUUUAUACAACUUUCAGCAACGGAUCUCUUGGCUCUCGCAUCGAUGAAGAACGCAGCGAAUUGCGAUACGUAAUGUGAAUUGCAGAUUUUCAGUGAAUCAUCGAAUCUUUGAACGCACCUUGCGCUCCUUGGUAUUCCGAGGAGCAUGCCUGUUUGAGUGUCAUUAAAUUCUCAACCAUCCUUUGAUUUAUUUCGAGGGUUGGCUUGGAUCUUGGGAGCUGCCGGCGACUCACUGGGGUCUUGUCGGCUCUCCUUAAAAGUAUUAGCGAAUGGUGUGAUGAGCUUCGUGCAUGAACGGCCUUUGACGUGAUAAUGAUCGUCGUGGCUGGAGUGCCUCGAGAGGCUUGGAUCGUCUUUGCUUCUAAUCUUGAUUGUAGAGGGAGGGGAACUCUGCUCCGGCGGACGAAACUUUCCUUUACUUUUUUUUUUUGACUUUUGACCUCAAAUCGGGUAGGACCACCCGCUGAACUUAAGCAUAUCAAUAAGCA